UUUCUGCUUUCUGCAUGACCUUGAUGCAUGUUAUCCCAGAAAACGGUACUGCCUUUUUUCGAUCUCUGGCGCAUUCUCCCCACACAAUUAUGACAAAAUGGGGGAAUGUAUUUUGACUACACAAUUAUUUGACAUACACAAGAAGAAAACAAAAUUACAAUUACCAAGGAAUGUGGUUACAGUAUAACACUUAAUGAAGAGAUAAUAAGCAUAUGAAGAAAAAACAGGAUAUUACGUGUGAAUGCAUGUUUGUGAAGGAGGGCCAAACUAUGUGUUUGGAUGUAAUCAUCCUGAUUUGCACAGUCAUCCUGCUCGAUAGUGUUGCUUGGAGUUUAUUACAUGUUAACGUAUUGAUCAAAUGAACAAAGGCACAAAAAACGUGAUAUUAUUUGCUAAACCUUGGACACUAACUCCUACACCCACUUCCUUGAUGUCAAUUAUCGCGGAAUAAAAGGAUGUGGGACAUUGGUGUGGUUUGCUUUUCCUCCCACGGUAUUGCUGGCAUUUAAAUAUUAGUAUUUCACAAAGCUGCAGGACUGAAUCCUUUGUGGAGAAAGUUUGGGCGGACCUAGCCUCGAUACCAUAAACUGAGAAUAGACUUAAGUUUAAAUUUCAAAUCUAACUAACUUUUGAAAUAAUUUUCAUAAACAAAUAACAUUUUCAGUACAAGUUUGCUUCUUUUUUUUUUUUUAAUAAACCAGCAGUUUUUUUUUAACAUCUAUGCGAGACGAAUCGUAAGAUAUAAUUAAUAAAAAGUUUGGUUGAACUAUAUUCUCAGUUAAUUGUCUUUAGGCCAGCUAUAUGCUAUGCGCAGAGGCCUUCCCUGUUUAUGUUACAUGUACCCUGUAUAACUGAUAAUUAAUUUACUUUUAAAUAUAUCUAAUUCGCUUUGGAUUACAAUAGUCUGUACAAGUAUUUCCAAAACCUCUAAAAGAUAAUUACAAAUUAGUUAGGCACGGUAAAUGCUCAUUUCCAUCAAUUCUCCUUAUAUAAACUUGGAAUUUUUAAUAUUAUCAUGAUUAGUAUGUACAUACUAGUAUGUAACAAUAUACCACUCGCACAAGAUCCGCACCCUCAUUCUUAACGGUAGAUAAUAUCCCUCGAGGUUAUCAUUAGUAAUUCCUAAGGUAACCGGGAAAUGCAAAUUAAGGUUUAAGUCAAGUCACGGACGAUAAAAUAAUACUGAGUUUUCAUCCUUUUUAUAUAGAACUUUCCUUGGGAAAUGUUUAUUUUCUGCGUGGUAUACAAGCCCAAGCUUUUACGGGUACUUUCUACCACAUUAACUGCUAUGUCGUUACCAUUUUUGUGCAUUUGGGAAAGCCGCGAGAUGGUGAUAUUGGCCAUUUUUGUACUCCGUUUUAGAGAAAGAGGGGAUAUUGAUUUAGAGCCAUCAAUUCAUCCGUCGGUACUGUUUCCGGAUGACGCAUCAAACACCAUUUGAGUUUUAGCAAUGAAAUAAGGCAUUCCAUAUAUAAUAUAUACCAACAUUAUCUUAUAUACAAUAACAUGGACAAUGGGGAUCGUGAAGCACUGCAUUCUCCGGUGACAUUUUCUACGUUUUAACACUGAUUUUUUUUUUUUUUUUUUUUUUUUGGCAAGAGGACCACCUGAGUACUAUGCAACAACUCAUUCAUGGACAGCUUAAUCACACACGUCACAAGUGGUUAAUUACUUUCUAAAAUUAGGCGAGUAUCAAAAAUUUCAGAAACUGUAUUUUCACUGUUAUAACAAUUACCGCUUUUUGGAGCCCCAGUAACUAGUCCAGAGGUCAUGAAUUCCACAAUUUUGGAAUCUUCCUACCCGUACAUACAGUGGAUUGUUUUAAAACACCGAGGUAAAGAGGAUCGUAUUUAAUACUAGAUAAAAAGUAUACUAAUUAUUUUACCUAUUUAGCCCUGCCCUAGAGCCUGAAUCCGAGAUGCAGGGAUGUGUAAUUUUACAAUUUUGGUAGAGGGCUCUUCAUAACCAUGCAUAAUACAUAGACGUAAAGAGACAAGACAAGUUUCAUUAUACAUGUACAUGUAUAUCCAUUUGGGCCUUGCCUUAAAGUCUUGAUUCCUGGUUUAGGGGUAGGAAAUUUCACAAUUUUGGUCGACAGCAACAUGCUGUCCAUAAUCAUGCACGAAAUAUCUGUUCACAAUAGCUGUAGAAAUAUAUCCAUUUGGACCUUCUCCUAAUAAAGCAAGACACCAAUUUAACCUUUGCUCAGGGGUAGGGAAUUUUACGAUUAUGGAAUAUAGCCACAUGUAUGGUUUUUUUUAAUUUAUUAUACAUACAGUAUUCCUUCACAAUUCACAAAAGUAAAGAAGAUAUGUUUUGGAGGGGUAAUGAAGAUUUAAAGAAUCGGUGUAAUUUUAAUCCAUAAAACAUACAGUCCACUAUCACACAUGAACCCCUAACCGAGAAGACAAGAUUUUUACAAAGGUAGAGGUAUCAUUAUGCAUGAUAAACAUAAAUAUUGUCUGCUAGAAUAGUAAAUGUCCCCUUUUAAAGAUUGCAUAUUUUUUAUAGCUUUGAUCCCCACCCUUCAGGCCCCAGAGUGACCAUGAAUUCUACAAUUUUUCUCUCUCCCCCUAAUUUGUUCCAUGCCAAAUUUGACGAAAAUUAGCCUCAUAAUUUUAGAGAAGUUAUUAUGUUCAAAUGUCAAUGGAUGACACACGAGUGACUCACGUGGCCUAAAAAUACUAUCAGUUUCCUUCCCACCUCUUAUCACUGCAACAAGUGUGAAACCAGGGGAUAUUAUGUACACGGUAUCCACAAAAUUUUUCUGCACGCAGUUGAUGACUCCAAGAGGACAACUUUUGUCUCUUGGCCAUACCAGAACUCUAGCUCACAGAAGGUGUUAUGACAUGUUGUCUUCUUUUCUGGAUUUACCAAUCUCUACUACAGGACACUACGCAAACUUCACUCCAUGAAAGAACACGUGGGAAUCAAUGCUAAAUGAUCACAUAGAUAUCAUAUUAGAUUUAUACAGACAUAAAGUUGAUAUGACAGCUCAUACAUUGAAUAAAAAAACCUUACACGUCAUUUAACCGUUUACAAGAUUCUCGUAAUUUGAACGCUAAUAGAGUCGAAAGUGAAGCUUGCAUUGCGCCCUCGGGUAAAGAUUGUGAAAAUUUACUUGUUACAACUUUACUUUAUGACAAACAAGCGCAGAAAUGAAUUACGUCAAGUUUCGGUAGUUCCGUGACAGCCACCAUGGUGAUAAACAGUUGGGGGACCAACAUUAACAUCUCAACACGGGACAACAUUGAAGACUUCUACAAAGAGUGAGGUACUUACCUCUCGAUAUUACAGCUCGGACGAGCACGUUUUAAUCUGAAAUAUAUGGAAAUAAAUCUUAGAUGUCUGUGAAUUCGGUUUGAUGCGACCGGCGAAUUCUAUGACUAAAAAGUCGAAAGUCGCAAGGACGGACUAAACAUCAAGAGGUAUACAAGCAGAGUGAACCUGUCGUAAAUCAAUACACACCAAGAAAAAAAACCCAACAACAUCGAUGCAUGAGACUUCGUUUAUUAAUCAAUUUUCUUUUAUAAAGGAUUGGUCUUUAUUAUUUAUCCUAGCUGUUAUAUCUCAUAAAUGGAGAAUUAUGAAAUGUCAAUCCUCUGAAAUAAUAUUAAGGCGAUUUCUCUACGUGGGGAUGUUAACUAUAACUAUCUGUGUGUUUGUAUGUACAGUAUAUAGGGAUGUUAACUAUCUGUGUGUUUGUAUGUACAGUAUAUAGGGAUGUUAACUAUAACUAUCUGUGUGUUUGUAUGUACAGUGUAUAGGGAAUGUUAACUAUCUGUGUGUUUGUAUGUACAGUAUAUAGGGAUGUUAACUAUCUGUGUGUUUGUAUGUACAGUAUAUAGGGAUGUUAACUAUCUGUGUGUUUGUAUGUACAGUAUAUAGGGAUGUUAACUAUCUGUGUGUUUGUAUGUACA